rnacentral:sRNA from 1 species
GCGGCCGCUGGCAGCGCUGGCCCUGGUCCUGGCGCUGGCCCCGGGGCUGCCCACAGCCCGGGCCGGGCAGACACCGCGCCCUGCCGAGCGGGGGCCCCCAGUGCGGCUUUUCACCGAGGAGGAGCUGGCCCGCUAUGGCGGGGAGGAGCUUCUCCCCUGCUUUCUAGGAAGAUCAGCCCAUCUACUUGGCAGUGAAGGGAGUGGUGUUUGAUGUCACCUCCGGAAAGGAGUUUUAUGGACGAGGAGCCCCCUACAAUGCCUUGACGGGGAAGGACUCCACUAGAGGGGUAGCCAAGAUGUCCUUGGAUCCUGCAGACCUCACCCAUGACACUACGGGUCUCACGGCCAAGGAACUGGAGGCCCUGGAUGAGGUCUUCACCAAAGUGUACAAAGCCAAAUACCCCAUCGUCGGCUACACUGCCCGGAGAAUUCUCAAUGAGGAUGGCAGCCCUAACCUGGACUUCAAGCCUGAAGACCAGCCCCAUUUUGACAUCAAGGACGAGUUCUGAUGUUCCCCCUGCAGGAGCAGGUUCUUGGGAGCGUGAGGCAGGAAGACACUAGGUGCUGAAUCUCCUGCAAAACUGGCUGCCUGGAGGCCCUGAGCCACCCAGAUCCGAAUAAAACAGAUGCUUACCCUGGAAGAGCAAAUGCCUCCUGUUGUCCUUGGUCAGGGGUUCUGUCUACCUGGGGACCCCUGUCUGCACACCAGGGAUCAAUAAGAGCCAAAGUGGGACACCUCCUAGAUGUCAGUAUCAGCUGGCUGGGCAGUGGAAUUUUGAGCGACCUUUACUUUAUACUUUUCUGUGCUUGACAGAUUUUCAGCCAUGACCAUGUUCACUUUACAAUCAAAACAAAAAUAAAGGUCCCAUUUUUAC